rnacentral:lncRNA from 1 species
UGAGGGUGGUGCGGAUGGUGUUGCCUUUUUCGUAGAUGGGGAAAUGGGUCUUGAGGAUGUGCUGGACGACAGUGGGGUUGGCCGUGACGACGAAGUGCUUGCCCAGAGAGUGGUGGAGGGUGAAGGUGUUUGAUGGCGAGCUUCGGAGGAGGUCUGUGAACCAUGGGAGCCUGCGUUCAUGGUUUUUGGAGAGGGUUAUGAAAGAGCCGAUUAUUGGGUAUGAUUUGGGGAGCUUGGUGUUGUUGCUGGUUUUGGGGUUUGGUUGUGAUGAAGCCUUGAAGACGAAGAAGAAAAGUAAGGGAAGGAGGACCAGGGAGGCCAAGGUUAAGAGCUGAAGAAACAUGGCUGAUAAUGGCAGAAAAAUGGAAGUCUUUUUUGGGAUGUUCGACGAAAUGGCUGACUGAAGUAAUGGGUUUGUACAGCUUGGUAGUGCUUCUGGUUUGUGAUUUCUUGAUGAAUAGGUGGCAAGGUUUGGUUGCUAUUUGUAGUGUCACGUUGGUUUGAUUGGAUUGGAUUCGAUCAUAAGAGCAUCUCCACCCAUAAGGGCUAAGUCUAGGGCAAGGGCAAGCAAGGGCUGCCACUAUUCACGUGAAUAGUGUCAGGCUUGCCAUUUGUGGUUCCAUCCAUGAGGGCUAAGUCUAGGGCAAGUCUAAGGCAAUUACUAUUCACUUAAAUUUAUUUUAUUUUAUUUAUACUUAAAUCAUUGAUUUUGAUAAGCUUUUCGGAUAAGAUUUUCAAUUCCCAAGUGUUAAUAUUUAUCGUAAAAUCCUCACCUAAAAAUCAAGAUAACAUUUUCGGACAAAAUUUUGAAAUUAAAUUGGUGUGGAAAGUGAAUAAUAUUGGUAGGUAUGUAUAGAAAAAAAUUUCAGAAUUUUUUGAUAUAUUUUUUAAAAUUUUUUGAUUUUUUGUUCAAUUUUUUAAAGCCAAAAAUUGGACAAUCGUUGGAUUGUGCAAUAUUUUUUGAUCGGAGGCUCCAGGAGAAGCCACAUGGCUUGUAACUAUUGGGCAAUGUGGGCUAGUUGGGUCCAACAGUAAUAAAAAAUUUGAAAAUCAGCUGCUGACAUCAUGCUGAUGUCAGCAGCCCGAGGGCAACAGCCCAGGCAGAAUUAGCCUUUGGGCUUGCCCAGGCUGGUGGGACCCACCAUUUGCCCUGGCUCAUUGUUGUGCGCUGGAGCUGGAAUGGGCUGCCAGGGGGGCCUUUUGCCCAGGUUUGGUGCAGCGGUGGACAUGCUCUAAAAGAAAAUUUUAGACUUUUCAAUUUUCCCAAACAAUUACCUAAAAAGUAUGCUUGACUAGACUUAGUCUCAUAAAGAGCUUCCUGGAUUUAUGUUCACAUAAUGACAAAGACGUCUAUACGUAAGCAAAGUUGUCAUGAUGGUUGAGAAGUUCAUGUAGUAACCACCUAUUUAACAGGUGUAGGAUUUUAUACAAAAAAAUCUCGAUGUUAUUAGAAGUGAAAUUAUUUAUUAUAUAAAAAUUUUUAUUUUAUUAAAUUUCAUGAAAUUCAUGUAUUCUUCCAGUGAACCAAAAAACUUAUAUUGUCUUGGGCCCUUACCGUCCCUUGUUCUCUUGAUAAUAUCAUGGAUUGGGGACAAUAAUAUGACAAUUUGAGUUUCUAUCAUUUCUCUUCUUUUUAUGUGAUCCUCUCACUAUAUACUAUUUGUUUGUGUUUGUUUUAAGAAAGUAGAAGCAACCCUGCUUUUGCAAAGUUCCCUCUUCAUUGUUUGAACUGCUACCACGAAAUAAAAUAGGUAAAAGCAUUUUCAGAUAAUAAAAAAUAAUUCAAACAUUAGAAGUUUUUAUGGGUUAUAAAAUCGUUCGGAACGUUUCUUAACAAAGGUACUUUGAUGAAGUACUUGGGUUUUUAUGAAAGAUUUCAGUGUAUUUAUGAUAAAAGCAAUAAAAACGAUUGAGCAAAAACGCUUUCUAGACAAGUAUUUACAAAUGGGUUCUAACAUGAUUCUUGUGUUUGUAUUCAUCAUUUUUUAUUUUUGUUUGUUUUUCUUUCCACUACGUAAGCAAAACCGUCACAAUGAGGGUCGUUAUCAGCUGUGAGAAUGGCACAUUGCUGUUUCUUCGUUAUGGGAGUUUUCUAUGGUCAAUGUACGGUCACCAAUGGAUUGGGGAAAGGCCUGUAAGUCUUUUGAAACUUGAAAGCUUAGCCAGGAAGUAUCCACCAAUCCCAUUGCACAAGUCAUGUUCCAAAAGCCAAAGAAUACAUUAUUGCCAAAGUCAUCGAGUUAUUAUAUGUAACCACCAAGCAAUUUACUUAGCAAAGGAACUUCUUACAUCAGAGAGGGUGCACAGAUGGGCCGCCGCUCAUGAGUAGUGAUCCGACGAGAGAAACUAGCAUCAGAGGUUAAUGGUUGAAGGCUGGGGGCUGGGCCAAUAAAGAAAUGAAAAGGUGGGCAAGGAAGGCUCAACUAGCUAGAUGGGCCGCCGCUCAUGAGUAGUGAUCUAAUGUUUGAUCCGCCAGCCGAACAAGUAAGGGAUUUCUCGUAGGCCUCAUUAUUUGACCCGCGGGCUCAUGGGUCGAUGGGGGCCUGCCAGGCCCAUCGAAAAAAAGUUCGGUCCGGCUCGUUAUGGAUUUUGAGAUGACCCGGCCCGCCUUGGGCCAGGUUAGGCUUGGACUUGGGUGUCUAAAGACCGGCCCGGCCCGCCCACAAAAGCCUGACCCGUUAGGCCCGCAAAUAUAUAUAAUUAUGUAUAAAUAAGAGUUUAGGUUUAGGAUUAUAUCACUUAAAUCACAUAUAUAAUUUGUUUCAUUUCAUUUACUUUUCUUUACUCAUUCCUAGUUUAUAAUUGGAUGAUUAGCACAUUAAUUUGUGUCAAUUAUUAAUUCAACAAUUAUAUAUAUAUAUACACACACAGAGCUUCCAUUGAGGGAUCCUUCUUAUUUGAGGGAUACCCCUUGUAGACCCUACUCCGGAUUAUAUUUCACUAAUCAAAACCAUCUAUUUUGUAGAUACUCAUUCAAAGAUGAUCUCUACAAAAAAUUACUUAAAUCAGAUAUCAUUUGGCCACUCAAUUGAGUUAUUGAAAUUUUAGUAUUUUCUUGAAGCACCAUGUUCAUUGAUUUUGUAAGACACAAUUGGAUAUCGAAACGGUUUCCGAUUUGUCUAAUUUUUAGUAAGGAUGAUCUAUGAAUGAAGACCUAAAAAAUAGAUGGUUUGGAUCAUUGGGAAAAAAAUGGUAUGGUACCCUAAAGGGCGUCCUUCAAAUAAAAUUAUUUAAGGGAUCCCUCAAUAGAAGGGGACUGAUAUAUAUAUAUAUAUAUAUAUAAGAUGAACAACAUAUCACAUCACCAAAUAUAAUCAUAUCACGAAACAUAAUCGUACCACCAAAUAUAAUCAUGCUUUUCUUGAACGCAUCACCAAAUAUUUGCAUAUUUAUUCAUACCAUCCUUUAAAUUUUUAUUUUUAUUUUUUUUAUACUUAGUUUUUUUAAAAAAAUGAUUUCUUAAAACGUAUUACGAUCUAAUUAUGUAAUAACAUCAAAAAUAAUACUUGGUUUUAUUAUUUUUGUGAAAAUCUUAUAAGUUGUGUGACUUUAUUGGAUGUUUUAUGAAUUUGGUUUGAAGUGAAAAUAUUGAAAUUAAGUGAGUUUAAUCUCAAAUUUGGACUAAAAUGCCUUUAUGAUUAAGUUUAUGAUUUUUUUUUUAAUGAAGUAGGGCUCAUUUAGGCCCGGCCCGUUGAGUUUAGUCAGGCCCAGCCCGAUGGGCUUUCUCAAGCCCGGCUCAUAGGUCGGGCUUGGACUUUGAAUUUUCUAAAAAAAUCCGGUCUAGUUCGGCCCGAUAUUUUCUUUCUCCUCUUUAAAGCCCAGCCCAGCCCAACCCAAGUCUAUUAAAUUUAGGUCGGGUUAACCCGACCCGGCCCAUUGACGAGCUCUAGCUAGCUGGGCCCUUAUUUAUUUAGGACUAGUUUGGUGCCCUAGCUAAAGUAGGUACUAGUUAGCCAACCUGAGGAGCCUUGGUGUGACGCGGUUUCGAUUGAUCCAGACCCAGACCAUGUCACACCUUAAGUCCCUAGUGGUUGGAGAGCCUUCCAGUAUGACGAUUACUCCAACAUUAUGAUUCUCUCACUCUAUCUUUUCCGCUGCAACUUCUCCACUUUGCCCCACAAGCCACAACUUUUUACCUGUUGUUGUGAAAAUUAAUUAAUUGUAACUAAUAAUUAAGUAUGUUAAUCCCACAAUUAAUCUUACCUGGACAACUUGACAUUGUUGUAGCUAGCUUCCUCCUGAUCUCACACACUGAUAUUUAUAUAUAUUUUUUGAUGAUAUUUAUAGAUUGGAAGAGUUCACUUUCAAUUCAAGCAUCUACUUAAUUCACUUUGAUGCUGACUAUGUAUAUGUCACGCCCCGAACUCGGGGUAGGUGAAAAUCCCGUGCUCGGCGCGUGAGAAAAUAAAAACUAAAAUAAAAUAAAAAUAAAAUAAAUAAUUGUUUAAAAUAAACUUCUUUUAUAAAUAAAUAUUUAAAAUAAAAAAUAAAAAAGCUCCCAAAAUGUUACAACUUUACAAGAAAUAAAUAAAGCUCUACUACUCUCAUCUAAUUUAGCCUUAAUUGAUUUAAUCCUUGUUUUGCCUACUAAUUCAUCUGAAAAAUUAAACAGGGUAAAGGGUGAGCAACCACAGCUCAGUAGGGACAUAAGACCUUACCACAAUAGAUUGAUAUAACUAAAUUAUAUGACAUGCAAUCACACAACCAAAUAUCACAUUAAUAAUAAUGCAUGAAUGAACUUCAAUUCUACCCAACCCGUUAAUUUAUAUAAUAGGGCAAGCAAAUCUGCAUGUCCCAUACCAUGUACUUUACCACUGUGAUUCCGAAUGCCCCAUUAUAUAAAAUAACACCCAUAUCAAUUAUCCCAUAAUUCCCUUUUUGCUAGUCAUCUUGUCUAAACCAUUGAUCUCCAAGCCCAAAUCACCCAAUCGACAAUUAUACCGCCGAUUUCCUAAUCUACUGUGCACACGGGCUCGCCUGAACUUGGUCCCUACAAUGGUCAGACUAAACUACACAAAAGAUCCUUCCCAUUACCCUCUUUUCCCUAAUUAUUUUCUCAAUCCAACAACUCCAACCAAUUACCAUGACAUGAUAUAAGUAUGCCAAUAUUAUGCAAAUAGUUCACAAUACAUAAAUAUCAUAUAGUAAGAAUAUUAUACAAUAUCAAAAAUACCCAUUAUAAUAGCACACAUAAUAUAGAAUUCACGAAAUUUAAUUAAAUCAAUCUUUGUAAAAGGUCACCAAAAAACCCCUACCUCAAUUCCAAAGCAAGCUCAAAAUUUUAAGAAAACACAAGCUUCUCUCUCCUUUCAAUUGUAAAAUGCCCUAUUUAUAUUAAGGAAAAGUCGGUUGCUACUAACUUAUGGCGGCUAACAAAAUAACGUGUUGUCGAUUUGGCAUGAUAUUAACAAGAUAAGGCUGCCAGCAACCCAAAAUUAUAGCAUGAGGUGUCUCAUGCUCUGCAAAGUAAAUAGAUAAACUCAAGGUGAUAAUGCAUGUAAUGAAUAUAAAACUGCCAGGUAUAAAAUGUCAUAGCAUGAGGUGUUGCAAAUGUAAUAGGAUUACUACACCUUUCAACUCAGCCAUUUAACAUGCAUGAAGUGAACUACACAUGAAUAACAAGCUUCUUUAUAUAUUUAUUUAAUAAUUAAAGAAACUAAAUAUUAUCAUAAAUAUAUAAAUAUAUAAGUAUUAUUAUAAUAAUAUUUAUAAUAAUUAAAAAAAUAUGUAACAACAAUAUAUAUAAUCAAUUUAAAUAUAUAACUAAAUAGGCAGUAAAAUAUAUAUAUUUUUAAAAAUUCGGUUUUUCACAGUUUAGCUUCGUGUCAGUCACUUAUUUGACUUUGAUGCUGACCAGGUCGACCUCGGGCAAUCCUUCCAAACCAACUCUGCAAGACCAAGUAGGUCAUCGUCUAGAAUGAGUGCAACUUGUUAGUAGCGGUUGAGUUUGGACUCACAUUUCAGCCGACCCAUUUGAGGUCUGGCUUGAGAUCAAAUGGCCUCUUAUGCACAAAUUCAUACUUGGCCUUUUAUGCACUUCCAACAAAUAAGCGUGAGAACUCCCACGCUUAUAAAAACUUAAAUGUUAUAAAAAUAAUUAUCAUAGUAUAAAAAAUACCACUGAAUAUUGGGAGUAAGAUUGUAUUUGCUCUUAUGAUUUUUAUAAUGACAGAACUUUCUCAUUCUGAUAAAACUCUUCUAGGAUUAAGCUCUCACUCUCUCAAAUUUCUCUCUCUCUAUUUUCUCUUUGGAUCGGUGGUGUCCUACAACUGAAUGAGCAAGCCUAUUUAUAGGCAAAUUAGAUGAUUUCCCGUGCAUCUCCAAAAUCUUCUUUUCCUAACAUCAUCAUCAUUUUCCUUUUGACUAUUAUUUUCUUAUUUCAUUCAAAUUUUCAACAAAAUAAUACCCGUACAUAUCAAGUGAUAAACGCUUCAAAAUGGAAAAUGGGAGACACCAAUCCCAAUUGAGAGUUGGCAUUGGGAGGUUAACUAAACUGAUGUUGGUUGGCAGAUUCUUCCAUUGCUAAGUUACCGUUUUAAGCCGAUGUUCACUUAUGUUUUUUUUUGGGGUAAACACGUUUUAUUUCCUCUUUUUUUUGGUUUAAUGUACACAUCUAUGCAGACGUGCUCGCGUUUCAUUUAUUUGCCCUUGUUUUUUAUUGGUCGGACGGACGACUUCUCGACUUUCGAGUCAUAGUGAAACUUUACCUUUUUAAGGUUUGAUCAUAAACUUAUGGAACAAAAGUUCCUCGCUGUACGGACAGGUCUUGCUUCUUCACAAGGUCUUGUCCAAAGUCUUUCAAGUUCCGAUUUCAGAGCUGAGGACAACGACAAGGAAAACGAUACGAAGAAGCUGAAGCUGAAGAUGGGCUUCGUGGGUCUUGUUGAAUUUGCCUUUCAGUGCUUUGAUGUUCUUGCAUGGUAUGCUUUGCUCUAAGAGAAACAGUUGAUCAAAUUUUUCUCAGAAUAUGAUAUAGUAAGCUUGUCAUCAUUUCCAUGUUGUUUGUGAUUUUUUAUUUUUCCUCUUGUCUUUUAUUUUUUGGGUUUUUUUCUUUUUUGUUUUUAAUUGCAGCCCUCUACUUGCUCUGCUGUAUCCUCUGUAAGCCUCUCUGCCCCACCCUCAUACAUUUUUAUUUUGAAGAAACAAUGUUUUUCUUUACCAAUUUUGUUCCGAUUUCAAAUUUUUCGAUAUUACAUUUGAUGAUGUCAUGAUGAUGAUUACUUUAUAAUAAUUUUGUUUUGAUUAAUGACGACUUAAAAACUGCAAUAUCGAUGUUGAUACAGUGAUGAAGAUCUCCUUGAUGUUUGUAUUUUCUUUUGACAGAUGUUGUUCCAUUAGGGCGAUUGAGGCCAAUUCUAUUUCAGAUUCUCAGAGGUUGAAUGCUUAUUGGGUUGUCUUCUCAUUGAUUUUGCUCUUUGAACAUGCAUUUAUGAAGUUCCUUGAAUGGUAAUUCUGCUGUUUAUUUUAUUGCAUAUUUUAGGCAAGAAAAGCUUUGACAGAACUUUCAGGCUAGUUAUCAUGAAAUCCUUUCAGAAGUGUGAAUUUAAUGUUGCGAGUUUCCCCCAAGUUUCGCUCAAUUAAUUUGAUCGUCCAUAAUUUUUAUUUCUUAAUACAUACAUUGUAAAUAAAAUUGAAAAAGGAAUGAGAUUUUCAAACAUUUCCUAGCCUUCACUAGAAUAAUAAGGAGAGCAGAGAUUUUCACAAUCUGGUUGUUCUCAAUUUCUGGAAUCUUCUUCCGACCGCCAUGAAAAAUUGUCAGAAGUGAAUUUGUGUGCAUAAUCCAUUCAUUGUGGUAUUAUUGAGACGAAACAGAGAGUUUCAUAAAUAAUUUUGAAGUUACUUUUCAAGAUGGUUGUGAUAUAUUAUGCAUGUUUUCAUAUAUGUGGUAGCUUUCUGGUAAUACAUUCACAAUCACAUGGAGUAGCAGUUAGUUUAACAGAUGUAUGAACACAAUUGUAAUACGUUCAUGUUUUCAUAUUUGACAUUCUGCUCAUUGCUUUUUUUUUUUUUUUUUCUUUUUCUCAUUCAAUUCAAACAUGUGAAAUGGAUGUAAUUCAUCAUCUUCAGAUCUUUGUCCCUGCAAUAUCACAUCCAUCUGCAUACUUCCAUAAAAUCUGCCGAGUUAGGUCUCGGUCAGGUCCUUUUGGAUAUAGUGCUGCUGACAUUUGUUAUACAACUUUUCAUUGUUCAAUGAUCAUCUAGUUAUGUUUCCUAUUUUUCCCAAAUCUGUACCUGUCAGGCUCCCACUGUGGCCGCACAUUAGGCUAAUGAUUGUCUUCUGGUUGCUGAUACCUCAAUAUGGUGGUGCAUUUUAUGUCUAUAACCACCUUAUCCGUCCAUGCCUCUCCGUGGACCUACAAAUUGUUAUCAACUGGUUUAACAAGCGGAAGAAGUCCUCGUUUGACAGAGACAAUUUUCUUGCCGAGGUGGAGAGAUAUGUAAAGGAGAACGGACCUGAAGCGCUGGAAAAUAUUGUUGCUUCCACAGUAAGUAGGUCGAAUUCUAUGAAGAAAAUAUUUUGUUAUAUAUGAAUAAAUUAUUUCCUAGAAUAUGCAAUUGUAUAGAUGCUUUGAACUGUGGAAAACCACAUUCAGUUUUGGUUGUCAAGACCCUCUGUGGAAUCUUUGUAUAGAUGCUUUGACUAAUAAUACGUUUCUGCUUCAGUCUGAGAAAACAAAGUCAAGUCCCGAUGCGAAAGAGUUCAAAGCAGUUUCUCUGGAUAAUAAAGAGGUACAGUAUCCCUGAUGCAACUCGUACAAAAUUCAUAGACUUUUCUAUACACUCCAGUGGUUUUUCGUUGAUGUCCUUUGUUAGAUGAAUAAUGUUUAAUAAGAAAUUCAAUUUGAUUUUGAAUUAUGCUUGAUUUAAAGCGAAAAUAUAUUGUGAAUUUAAGUUUGCAAUAGCCUAAUCUAUUAAUUUGAUGACCUAAUGAUGCAGAAGACACCUUUUGAAGGUGCUUAUGGACUUAAGCCUCAAAAUGUUCUUGACUUAGUUCCACUUCCAGAAGAGAUGAAGAUGAGUGAUGAUGGAGAGGGUUUGGCGGACCAAGUGAAAAGAGUGCACGAAGAAGUGAGGGCAGUAAUAAAGGCUAGUUCUGCAGACAAUCAACACCGAAGAGUCAAAGAUUUUGAAGAAGGUGACAUGGUUUGGGUGCAUUUGAAGAAGGAAAGAUUUCCAAAAGACACAUACCAUAAAUUGAAGUCCAAGAUGUUUGGGCCAUAUAAGGUGUUGAAGAAAAUGAGCUCAAUCGCUUACAUGAUAGAGCUGCCACCGGAUCUCCAGAUUAGCCCAUAUUUCAAUGUGUUUGAUUUGUAUUUGUUUGAGGGAUUUGAUGAAGAAACAAUUUCAAAGGAGGCACAACCAUAUAUUGUUGAGGAUGUGUUGGAUGUCAAAGAGGUGACGUCAAAGAAGGGUAACCAAUAUAGGCGGUUCUUAGUGAAAUGGUUGGGUAAGAAUGCUACUGAGAAUACUUGGAUUGCUGAAUAUGAUUUAAAGAGGAUUGUUGCAGAGAGAUAUGCUGAAGUUGUUAAAGCUUUCUCGCCAGAGUCGACUUCUUCCCAACCUGGUGGAGUUGAUGCAGGAUCAUCUGUUCGUUAGCCAAGUCAUUUCAACACACGCAGAAAACCCGCAACCACAAAAGCUUUGGAAAAUAAAAAUGCCUAGUGAAUUUUAAAGCAAUCUCAAACAACAUGGCAGAGCUUGAUGAGAUAUAAAAUAGAGAAGAUCCAAACAACAUGAGACCCAUGGAUAUGGUAAAAGUAUUUUCUUUUAUUUGGCCAAGCCUUCAAGGAAGAAGACUAUGGAUGUGAUUAAGUAUUUUCUUUCUUUUUCUGGAACAACUAAUGUUUAGAUAAUUCCCAGGAAAUUUUAUUGAUGAGAGGAUUUUGAUAUCAUCACAAUUUACAUCAUAUGGUAGAUAAUUUCUAUCAACAAACAAAGCCCUUUUUGUAAGUAGGCCUAGCUAGCCAACGCGGGGAACCGUGGUGACGACGCCGUUUUCAUCAACCCAGACCCGGACCCGGUUGCACCUCAACUCUUGGGUGAUUAUAGUUCCUUCGGGGAUGACGAUUGCAUGAACAUCAGGCUUCUCUUGCUCUAUCUUCGCCGCUGCAACUUCCCCAUCUUCUCCGACUAUCUCUGGCCAUGAACUCUUACCUAUAUCGAAAUCAAAACAAAAACAUUUAUUUCAUUUCCAUAAUUAAUUACAAUAAUUAUUAUUGACUAAUAAUCUACCAAAAUUUAUUGUAUUAUUACCUGGACAAUAUGCAGAUGCCAUUCUUCUUUCUCCCUCACUCACACUCUCAUCAGUCUCAGUUUUCUCAGUCUGAUACAUAAAUAUGUAAUAUAUAUUUGCAAUGGUAUUUAUUUUAAAGAAAUUGAAGGAGGUUUCAUUAGCAGACACGUCACACGUGACCAAGGUCUAAAAUAUCGAUGAUAUCGGAAAUAUCGGUAGUCUAAAAAUAUGGAAAUUUCGAUGGAAAUAUCGGGAUAUUAUCGAUAUCGAUAAAAAUUGAAUAAAAACCACGGAAAUUGUAAGAAAAACUUGGAAAUUUUUAUUGAAACUUUGGAGAAUGUCAAUUUAGUCAAUUAUCUAUGAGUUUAUGACAAAAAAUUAGAAGAAAAUCCAUUGCAUGAUGGAUUUAACUAAUUUAAGUUGAUUAUACAGCAAGGGGCAAACACUAUGAGUGUAAAAAAUAUGUAAUAAUUAAUGAAAAAAGAUUAAAUACACCGUAAUCAUUCAUAUAUAAUGAUUUACUAUAAUAUUUUACACUUUAUACAUUGCAUGGUAAGAUACAUGAAUGACUUAGUACCACAUAGAGUUCCUACGAGGUUCAAAUUUUUCACUAUCUUCAUCAUCUCUAUGUGUAGAGUAAGUGUAUUGUGAAGAGUAGUCAUCAAAUGAUAAAUCCCCAAAAUAGUUUUGCAUGUAAUUGUUAACAUACCACCCAUAUAAAUAUAAAUAUAAAUAUUUUAGCAUAUUAUCACAAAAACAUAAGUGAUAUGGUGUUUAAGGUGUUGGAGGAGUAAAAUAGGAGGGGUUCAUAUCCCCUUUGUGCUUUUUUCUCCCCUUUUUCCCCCUUUUUUUUUAAUAACUUUUUUUUCCUUCACAUCGAUAUUUUCGAUAUUUUCGAUAUUUUAGCGAUAUUACACCGAUAUUUUGACAAAAUAUUGCUGAAAUGUGAGCGAAAUUAUCGACAUCGAUAUUUUCCGAUAUUAUCGUCGAUAUUUAUACGAUAUGUACAUGGAUAUGUUCCGAAAUAUCCGUGAUUCAAAAAAAUCGAAAUAUCCUCGAUAUUUCUUCGAUAUUAUCGAUAUUUUAAACUAUGCACGUGACUACAUGUGACAUGUCAAUGCCUCCGCGAGCUCCAUGUACAUUUGUCCUUCAUGCACACACAUAGUUUUGGACCGACCUCGUAUUUCAUUGAUUAGAGCACUUCCACCCUCCCUUUUGCCAUAGUUUUGGCCUAGCUCCAAAAACAAUCCCCACAAAGUAAAAGUUCCGAUGACAAUAAGUGAGCUCACAAAACUGGGUAAGAUUUGUUUGGACUGCUGCUUUGACAAGCUAAUGACAUGUUGUUGUCUCGGCAAGCUAAUGUCAGCAAUCAAUUUAAAUACCAAAAAUAUUUUAUAAAAAAUAUUUAAAAAAUUCAGAAUUUUUUUUCUUAUAUAAAUAACUAGCAAUAUUCUUCACUUCCCACAUUAAAAUCUAUACAAAUUCCUCUCGUUAUAUCUCAUAUAAAUAGUAUUUGUCAUUGAGUUGCUAUGGCAAUCACUAUUCACAUGAACAGUGUUUACCUUGUCUUUUUCCAUAGCACAAUGGAAUGGAAGUGCUCUUAAUUAUGUGUCUCUUUUUUUAUAAUUAAUUGAACAUAUUUGUUUAAUUAUCGUUUAUAUUAAGGUAUGAGAAAAUUUUAGCAAUCUCCUUUUGAAUUAUACCCCUUAUCAUUCUAUUUUUGUGCUAUGUACUUUUAAUUUGGUUUUCAACUCCUCUAAUCUUUCAAAAUGUGUUAAUAUACUUUUUCAGUCAAGUUUAUAACAUGUGUUAUUUUGUAAGAGGCCACAUCUUAUCUGGAGAAGGAAUGACUCUGAUAUAUGAGGAGCCAAACAUUCUCCUAAUUUUAUUAGCAUAAAUGUCAAUUCACUCAACAUGACUUCCAAUUGACUAUUCGAUUGGGGGGUAAAGGUGAAAACGGACAAAAAGCGAGUGAAAAUGAGGUGUGAAAGGAAGAAUGUCAAUUUGAGUGGGUCAAAUCAUAUAUUAACGUGAAUGAACAGAAAUGCCCUUAAAUUUAAGGAAGCAAUUAAUAUAGUUGACAAAAAGAAGAACAUUGACAUGUUUUGAAAGAUGAUGAACGUUUGGAACAAGUUAAGAAAGACCAAGUGGAACAAAAUCUAUAGUUGAGGGAGCAUGGGUCAACUUUUCUUUAAACAUAGUGCUUGAUGAACAAGUAAUCUGCUAAUUGCAUACUCAACUCAAGAAAUAAUAAUAAUUAAGAAUCUACCUGCAUGCUUACGAUCGUAAACCUUCAACUUAAUUACGCACGUACUAAUUAAACCAACGCUGUAGCUAUUGUUAAGCCUACAUCGUGUACACACUGAAAAUCUGUGAACAAAACAUACAUAUUCUUCAUCAAGCCCUCUCCACAAUGGUGACCGGAAAGCCACCUUUCAUUUUUCCGGUGAUGUAGGGCACAAACUCUGGCUGGGCUCUACCCUCCCUCUCCACCGGGACCACCUUAAACCUCUUCAAAACCGCACUCACCACCCUCUUCAUCUGCAGAAACGCCAUCUCCUUCCCCAAGCAGAUCCUGGGCCCCGCCUGAAACACAGGGUAGCUGAACGAGUCCCUCCCGACAAACUUCCACUUGUGGGCCCCAUUCUCCUCUCUCUCCAGCCACCUAUCGGGCCUGUACUCUGCCCAGUCCUCCCCCCAAAUCUCCUCCAUCCGCCCCAUCGCGUACACGUGGUAGGUCACCGUCAUUCCCUUCUUCACCUUCGUCCCGUCCGGCAAAACGUCGUCCUUCAUCGCCUGUUUGCUGUCCGCGGCAACCGGCGGGUACAGCCUCAUGCUCUCGCACAGCGCCGCGUGAGUGUACACCAUCUCCUUCACCUCGUCGUAACCCCCUGCGGCCGACUCCAACUCCGCCGUUCCGCUGAUCUCCUUUAGAAUCUCGUCUUCCACAUGUGGGUUCUGCGAUAGUAGCCAGAAGAACCAUGUGAGAGCUGCCGACGUGGUGUCUCGGCCGGCGAGGGUGAAGCUGAUGACGAUGUCGGUGACGAACUUUUCAUCCGAGUGGCCUGAGCCUAAGAACCGGGAGAGGAGAUCCACGGACUCUAGAGCCUUCGUCUCGUUCAGCUCUCGCUUCUUUUCCCUAACAAUGGUGUUCGCGAACUCGCGAACUUCAGAGACCGCAGCUCGGAGGCGCUUCUCGGAGCCAAUUCCGAGAACCCUUUUGAGCUUCCACACUGGGGGUAACGAACUGAACCUGUCGCUGCUGAUUUGAACUGCGUCGUCGAAAGCUACUGCGAAUUUGGCUUCGGGCAGAGAGGGUAACAGGUAAGCCGGAUCGUACCCAAAUGCGAUUCUGCUAAUGUUAUCGAAGGCGAAGCGUUGGAGAAUGUCCUGGAAGUCGAGAAUUGAAUUGCUGGUGGCGGAGGAGGAGAGAAUGGGAAUGAGGCGGUCGGAGAGCUCGGCGUCGACGACCUGUUCGACGAAUUUACGCAGAGACUUGGUGUUGAAUUCGUGGCUGGAGACUUGGCGCUGGAACUUCCAGUUGUCGCCGUCGGCGUUGAAGAUGCCGUCGCCGAGGAGGUCGGUGAGGGUGGUGCGGAAGGUGUUGCCUUUUUCGUAGAUGGGGAAAUGGGUCUUGAGGAUGUGCUGGACGACAGUGGGGUUGGCCGUGACGACGAAGUGCUUGCCCAGAGAGUGGUGGAGGGUGAAGGUGUUUGAUGGCGAGCUUCGGAGCAGGUCUGUGAACCAUGGGAGCCUGCGUUCAUGGUUUUUGGAGAGGGUUAUGAAAGAGCCGAUUAUUGGGUAUGAUUUGGGGAGCUUGGUGUUGUUGCUGGUUUUGGGGUUAGGUUGUGAUGAAGCCUUGAAGACGAAGAAGAAAAGUAGGGGAAGGAGGACCAGGGAGGCCAAGGUUAAGAGCUGAAGAAACAUGGCUGAUAAUGGCAGAAAAAUGGAAGUCUUAUUUUGGGUGUUCGACGAAAUGGCUGACUGAAGUAAUGGGUUUGUACAGCUUGGUAGUGCUUCUGGUUUGUGAUUUCUUGAUGAAUAGGUGGCA